UGGUCCUGACCAAGGCUUUCAGAAUGCAGUUUCUCAUUCGUCGUGGACAUGACCACAGACCAUUUUCCCACUAGGUUUUUUUUCCUGCUCUGUUGGUAAUGUGCAGCCUACUGGGAACAUUU